ACUGAGACACGGCCCAGACUCCUACGGGAGGCAGCAGUGGGGAAUAUUGCACAAUGGGCGGAAGCCUGAUGCAGCGACGCCGCGUGAGGGAUGACGGCCUUCGGGUUGUAAACCGCUUUCGCCUGUGACGAAGCGUGAGUGACGGUAAUGGGUAAAGAAGCACCGGCUAACUACGUGCCAGCAGCCGCGGUGAUACGUAGGGUGCGAGCGUUGUCCGGAUUUAUUGGGCGUAAAGGGCUCGUAGGUGGUUGAUCGCGUCGGAAGUGUAAUCUUGGGGCUUAACCCUGAGCGUGCUUUCGAUACGGGUUGACUUGAGGAAGGUAGGGGAGAAUGGAAUUCCUGGUGGAGCGGUGGAAUGCGCAGAUAUCAGGAGGAACACCGAUGGCGAAGGCAGGUCUCUGGGCCAUUACUGACGCUGAGAAGCGAAAGCGUGGGGAGCGAACAGGCUUAGAUACCCUGGUAGUCCACGCUGUAAACGGUGGGUACUAGGUGUGGGGUCCAUUCCACGGGUUCCGUGCCGUAGCUAACGCUUUAAGUACCCCGCCUGGGGAGUACGGCCGCAAGGUUAAAACUCAAAGAAAUUGACGGGGGCCCGCACAAGCG
rnacentral:rRNA from 1 species